rnacentral:rRNA from 1 species
GAUGAACGCUGGCGGCAUGCCUAAUACAUGCAAGUCGAGCGAAGCGGGGACGGGUGAGUAACACGUGGAUAACCUCCUAUAAGGCUGGGAUAACUUCGGGCAACCGGAGCUAAACCGGAAACUGAUAGGUGGAUCCGCGCUGCACUAGCUAGUUGGUAAGGUAACGGCUUACCAAGGCAACGAUGCAUAGCCGACCUGAGCGGGUGACCGGCCAUACUGGAACUGGGACACGGUCCAGACUCCUACGGGAGGCAGCAGUAGGGAAUCUUCCGCAAUGGGCGCAAGCCUGACGGAGCAACUCCGCGUGGGUGAUGAAGGCCUUCGGAUCGUAAAACUCUGUUAUUAGGGAAGCGGUACCUAAUCAGAAAGCCAUGGCGAACUACGUGCCAGCCGCCGCGGUAAUAC